UCGAAAGCGCAAAGCGAAGACGCAAAGCGAUGCGCGGAAUGCAAUAACAAAAACAUUUCAUAAUGUAGGCGCUAUUAAGUUUAUCUUGCUUUUAGAGGUGAGGAAUAUAUGAUCGAACAUGUGGACAGCAUUUUUAAUGCGUAUAAUAAGAAAAAGAAUUGUGCUAGGAUUGAUUUUCGCCGUCUCUUUUACUUACUGCGUGGUAAGCUUCGUGAAAGAGAAUAGCUCCCAGAAUAAUGAAAUUGAAUCCUUGCCUGUGAGAAGAUUUCAGCAACCAUUUCUGUGGCAUUCUCCAAAAGAUGAUUCAAAUGGGACAGAUGUCAAAGUUACAACUUGCAGGAAUUCUGUGCAAGGGAAGGUGCUUAUAGUUGAUGACAGAGGCUAUAUAUGUUCACGGACUGAUGUUUUAUCAACUGGAUGUUGCAACACAGAUAUAGAUACUACAAAGCAAUAUUCAUGUGAAACCUGCAAAGACAAUGGAUGCUGUAGUAUUUAUGAAUAUUGUAUAUCAUGCUGCUUACACCCAGAUAAGAAAAAUGUUUUGCAGAAUGUCUUGGGAAAAGCAUCAGAAACUUUCAAUGUGCUAUUCGCCUCUGUCACAGACCAUUUUGAGCUUUGUCUAGCGAAAUGUCGAACUAGCUCUCAGAGUGUGCAGCACGAGAAUUCUUACCGUGAUCCACGUGCGAAACACUGCUACGGUGAGACACCCGCUGCUCCAGCAGGACCAGCUGGUGAAGGUGGCACUGCACCAUCAUGAGACUGUCAGAGCAGUGUGAGUGCAUCCCUUUAAUAUGUGUGUGGGCUCAGUGAAUGACUCGGUGCUCGUGUUGUCUUUUCCCUGGUGAGUGCUCUGGACUGACCCCUAAUGACUACAGGGAAAAAAGAAACUAUCCUGCUGUUCAUUGAAAGGUUUUGGCAGUGCUCGUUGUGAGAAGAUAUUCCUAAUUGUUACUGGUAUUGUAGUCAUUACGGAAGAGUUGUGAUUCCUGUAUCACCGACAUUGUGAUACAUCAGUGUGAUAACCACUGUAUUACAUGAAACUCUGCAGUUUCACCCUAGCACUUGUCAUUUCCCAUUAACUGUGAUUGUAUUGUUUUGCAAAAGUCAUCUCGUACAUUGCAAAGUUGCAUAAUAUAACGAUUUUUGUAUACUUAGGGUUUUAGCAGUAUAUUUGGAAUUGUGGUAUGUUCAAGUUGGCAUGUGAUUGGAAGUUGUUGUCGAAUGUGGUUAAGAACUGUGCUCCUUUUAGACGCAAAUUUGACUAAGUCAUAAAAUAUGCAAUUUGUUUUAUAUAUGCUGUUUAUUUAUGACAGCUGUUAGAUUUUGAUGUAAUGACAUGACAGUAUUUUAUUUUAUUGAAACAGAUUAUAUUCUGUUAAUAAGUUUCAAGCAUAUAUCAGAAUGUUUUUGUUCAGAAUUGAGCGUUCCUUUAAUCUUCUGGUGCUUAAUAGAAAAUUUCUGUAAGAAAUGAACUAUGUAUGUUUUCAGUCCUUUGUGUAAUCAUAGAAAAAAAUAAUUUAAAGUUUUAAUACCUUGUUUGCUUACCAUAAAUACCUCACAUGGUAGCCUAUUAUCUAAUUGAUGAGUGUAACCUAUAUACCAGAUCAUAACUUAUCUCCAUUGUCACAUUGGAUGUUUCACACAAUAACAUAUGAGGGUUAUGCAGAAAGUAAUACACUGCAUUUUUUCUUCAACAGUUCUGUAUUGAACAUAGUGAGAAUUACACACAUGAAAGAAUGGUGUUUUAUCUACACACCCUAUUUUUUCACUUAAUGUCCAACCUGUUCUAUGGCCUUCCUCCAGUACGAAACAAAGGCGUAUAUGCCCUGUCAGUACCUAUCCUAGUCCAGGUGGCAGAGCCAGUGCUUCACUGUGGGAAUCACCUCCUCACUAUCCUCAAAAUGUUUUUCAUGAAUGCCUCUGUCCUCGCGAAUGGCAUCAUCAGCUCACUGCAACAUGUCAUGUGUGACAGACGUGGAUGAUCUCCCCAACUGCUGGAAACUGUGGAGCUCCACCAAACCGUCUUCUGAUGACCCACCCUCCGUGCCCAGCAACUAACUGUACUGUCGACAGCAGAUGCUCCAUAGCCUUUGCACAAGCGUUUGUGAAUAUUCCCCAUGUUUUCUUUCUGUGCAGUGAGAGAUUCAAUGAUGACACAUUGCUUGUAACAUACAUCACCUACAGUCAGUCAUUUUGAAACUGUCCUGCAGCUGCACUAUCUGUUGGAAGUGAUGGAAUCGUGGCAGGCUCACUCGGGAGACUUCAAAUAAUACAGACAUAACAAUUCACAUUCGUAGAAUUGUUUUCAGUUGAGAAAAAAAAUGCGGUGCAUUACUUUCUGGGCAAUCCUCAUAUAUUGUGAAUUAGAACAUUACUUAGUGAUUGAAAAUGUUAAUUGCAAGUUGAGAUGCAAAUGGUUACUUCAUUAAGCGUCAUAAUACAUUCAUAUUGUGCUCUGUAGCAAACUGUAAAGGAAAUAACCAGAGUAACAAGUCAUUGUGCAAGUC